AAAGAAUAAGCCAAGCAAGUCUAAGUAUAAGCAAUCUAUACGGUGAAACUGAGAAUGGCUCAUUAAAUCAGUUAUCGUUUAUUUGAUAGUACCUAACCUACUUGGAUAACCGUGGUAAUUCUAGAGCUAAUACAUGAUAAAAACCUCGACUUCGGAAGGGGUGGAUUUAUUAGAUAAAAAACCAAUGCCCUUCGGGGCUCCUUGGUGAUUCAUAAUAACUUAACGAAUCGCAUGGCCUUGCGCCGGCGAUGGUUCAUUCAAAUUUCUGCCCUAUCAACUUUCGAUGGUAGGAUAGUGGCCUACCAUGGUGUUAACGGGUAACGGGGAAUUAGGGUUCGAUUCCGGAGAGGGAGCCUGAGAAACGGCUACCACAUCCAAGGAAGGCAGCAGGCGCGCAAAUUACCCAAUCCCGACACGGGGAGGUAGUGACAAUAAAUAAUGAUAGCAGGGCCCUUGCGGGUCUUGUAAUGGAAUGAGUACAAGGGAACCGUAGCGAAUCGCAACCAAACUUUUUUUUU
rnacentral:rRNA from 1 species